rnacentral:rRNA from 1 species
UUGAUCCUGGCUCAGGAUGAACGCUGGCGGCGUGCCUAAUACAUGCAAGUCGAGCGAAUGGAUUAAGAGCUUGCUCUUAUGAAGUUAGCGGCGGACGGGUGAGUAACACGUGGGUAACCUGCCCAUAAGACUGGGAUAACUCCGGGAAACCGGGGCUAAUACCGGAUAACAUUUUGAACCGCAUGGUUCGAAAUUGAAAGGCGGCUUCGGCUGUCACUUAUGGAUGGACCCGCGUCGCAUUAGCUAGUUGGUGAGGUAACGGCUCACCAAGGCAACGAUGCGUAGCCGACCUGAGAGGGUGAUCGGCCACACUGGGACUGAGACACGGCCCAGACUCCUACGGGAGGCAGCAGUAGGGAUCUUCCGCAAGGACGAAAGUCUGACGGAGCAACGCCGCGUGAGUGAGAGGCUUUCGGGUCG